AGGAAUUAAGCUUGCUAAUUUNGCUUGACGAGCGGCGGCCGGGUGAUGUAAUGCCUGGGAAUAUGCCUUAGUGUGGGGGAUAACUAUUGGAAACGAUAGCUAAUACCGCAUAAUGUCUUCGGACCAAAGAGGGGGAUCUUCGGNCCUCUCGCGCUAAGAUUAGCCCAGGUGAGAUUAGCUAGUUGGUGAGGUAAGAGCUCACCAAGGCGACGAUCUCUAGCUGGUCUGAGAGGAUGAUCAGCCNCACUGGAACUGAGACACGGUCCAGACUCCUACGGGAGGCAGCAGUGGGGAAUAUUGCACAAUGGGCGAAAGCCUGAUGCAGCCAUGCCGCGUGUAUGAAGAAGGCCUUCGGGUUGUAAAGUACUUUCAGUAGGGAGGAAGGUGUUGUAGUUAAUAGCUGCAGCAUUUGACGUUACCUACAGAAGAAGCACCGGCUAACUCCGUGCCAGCAGCCGCGGUAAUACGGAGGGUGCGAGCGUUAAUCGGAAUUACUGGGCGUAAAGCGCAUGCAGGUGGUUCAUUAAGUCAGAUGUGAAAGCCCGGGGCUC
rnacentral:rRNA from 1 species